CCAGACUCCUACGGGAGGCAGCAGUGGGGAAUCUUCCGCAAUGGACGAAAGUCUGACGGAGCAACGCCGCGUGAGUGAUGACGGCCUUCGGGUUGUAAAGCUCUGUUAAUCGGGACGAAAGGCCUUCUUGCGAAUAGUGAGAAGGAUUGACGGUACCGGAAUAGAAAGCCACGGCUAACUACGUGCCAGCAGCCGCGGUAAUACGUAGGUGGCAAGCGUUGUCCGGAAUUAUUGGGCGUAAAGCGCGCGCAGGCGGAUAGGUCAGUCUGUCUUAAAAGUUCGGGGCUUAACCCCGUGAUGGGAUGGAAACUGCCAAUCUAGAGUAUCGGAGAGGAAAGUGGAAUUCCUAGUGUAGCGGUGAAAUGCGUAGAUAUUAGGAAGAACACCAGUGGCGAAGGCGACUUUCUGGACGAAAACUGACGCUGAGGCGCGAAAGCCAGGGGAGCGAACGGGAUUAGAUACCCCGGUAGUCCUGGCCGUAAACGAUGGGUACUAGGUGUAGGAGGUAUCGACCCCUUCUGUGCCGGAGUUAACGCAAUAAGUACCCCGCCUGGGGAGUACGACCGCAAGGUUGAAACUCAAAGGAAUUGACGGGGGCCCGCCAAG
rnacentral:rRNA from 1 species